AGAGUUUGAUCCUGGCUCAGGAUGAACGCUAGCGGCAGGCUUAAUACAUGCAAGUCGAGGGGCAGCACAGGUAGCAAUACUGGGUGGCGACCGGCAAACGGGUGCGGAACACGUACGCAACCUUCCUUUAAGUGGGGGAUAGCCCAGGGAAACUUGGAUUAAUACCCCUUAACAUUAUGAGAUGGCAUCAUUUUAUAAUUAAAGCUCCGGCGCUUAAAGAUGGGCGUGCGCCUGAUUAGGUAGUUGGCGGGGUAACAGCCCACCAAGCCUACGAUCAGUAACUGGUGUGAGAGCACGACCAGUCACACGGGCACUGAGACACGGGCCCGACUCCUACGGGAGGCAGCAGUAAGGAAUAUUGGUCAAUGGACGCAAGUCUGAACCAGCCAUGCCGCGUGGAGGAUGACGGCCCUCUGGGUUGUAAACUCCUUUUAUCUGGGAAGAAAUGUAGAUUUUCUAAUCUGUUUGACGGUACCAGAGGAAUAAGCACCGGCUAACUCCGUGCCAGCAGCCGCGGUAAUACGGAGGGUGCAAGCGUUAUCCGGAUUCACUGGGUUUAAAGGGUGCGUAGGUGGAGUGGUAAGUCAGGGUGAAAU
rnacentral:rRNA from 1 species